rnacentral:snRNA from 1 species
UGCUACAGUUGUCUCUUCAUAUCGUAUAAAUCUUUCGCCUUUUACUAAAGAUUUCCGUGGAGAGGAGCAGUCACGAGUUUCAAUGAAUUUUUUGAGGCUUCAUUUCGGUGAGGCU